AAAGAUGCUUAUUUCUGCACAUUUUAACAUCUUUUUAAUCAGGCCCAUGUUAAUUACAAGUACCAGCAUUUCUGUAUAACGGCAUAUAAAAUAAUUGUGCAUCCUAAAACCGAUGGCAUCUUAGUUAUUGAAAUCCACCAAAGUUUCCAAAAGUGUCAAAUUAUACCCAAUGUUAUUACUUUUCAAUAGUAAUAAUAUCCCCUUCAUAUUUGUAAGAUUCAUAUUAAAUAUUUAUUGAAUACACAUUAUUUUAAAAAUAACUUUUAUUUUGUGCUUUUAACAAAAUCUUUCUUUCCUCACAUACAUUAUACACAUACUUAGCCCUGCUUUCUUUUUUUCUUUUGUUUCCUGCUAUUUUUUAUUUCCAUUAUGAAAUGCAAUAUGCUGUGUAUCCCUGGAUUAAAAUGUUUCUGGUUUUAUGUGAUUCAUAGCACUUAGUAGGUUAGAAGUUUAGCCUACCAUUAAAUUUUCUUUAAGAGAUUUGAAAAAUGCAUGGUCCCCACAAUGUCAUAUAAUGGGUUAAACUGAUGGUAUUUCAUUUCACCUAUAUCACAGCAUCGACUUUGGCAUGGCAAUGAAUUGUGAUAAUUACAAUAAUGGGAAUUACAAACCAGCUGGUCAGUUACAUCAUGUUACAAAUGGUAAAAAAUAAUCCCAUUCUUUACUUUUAUAUUUUAAAAUAUGACAAAAUAUGAAUGACAACUGUACUAACUUUUCACCAAACAUGCAUUUUUAUUUUAAAAACUUUAUAAUAAACUUAUCUGUCAAAAUGUAUAAUUUGAAGAAUAAUUAAUUUAGAUCUAUACUUAAGACUGUAUAAAACUAGCAGUGGUGUUUUUUAUGAUUUAUUUUUGUUUUGAUUAGUGGUUUGAAAGAUGCUGACAGACUACAUAAUCUGAGUUUGAUAGAAUGAUUUCAGAGGAUUUUAUUGAAUGCAUGUUCUUUAUCAAACUCCCCCCCCUUUUUUUUAAUGUGCCUUCCAAAGAGCAGAGCCUCUCAACAGACAUUUAAACUGGAAAAUUUUUAUUCCAAAUUCAUUUUCUUCUUGGUUGAUGACUAUUUACUAAUUGCUUGGUCUGCGAUUCAACAAAGCAGAAGGUAUACUCUUCUUGCAACUGGGCAGUUGAUAUCAAUGAGGAGUUAUUGCAUUUUCUGUGAAAACAAUAAAAUCAUAGGGUUCAAUCCCAAGCUAUUUCCUUUCCCACGGUGUUCCCUUUGUGGCUAACUAGCUUAAUUAGUUCUCUUAGUGCUUAUUUUUACAAAGCAAUGUCGCUGGCAUUUUCUACUUUUACUUAGGAGAAAAGCUACCACAGAAUGAUCAGAACUUUUUUUUUUCAAAUCUAGUAUAAAAAGUUCUCUGCUGAGUAUCCAUAAUAUAUAUGAGUAUAUAUGUUAUGACACAGAAAAAGUAAGAGUUAAAGACUUGAAAUUUUAAUGUGAAAUAUGCCAGUUGAAUCAAUCUAUCAUAUGUUUAUGUCUGUUUGAAAACAGAAGUAAAAGUUACAGAGUGAUAAAUAGUCCAUAUAUUUGUAUAUGGACUACUUUAUUGACAUUGUUAUUAACAUAGAACUUAAAGAUUGGUGAUUUCAUUACCCGGAAUCCACAUUGAAUAUAAUGGAAUUAAGCAAUUGGAAUUCACAAUUUUGAAUAGGGCAGGGGUUAAACUCUGGAUAGAAAAUGAAAUAGUUUUCUAAAGUAAAUAUCUACAACUGAUUGAAUUUAAUUUCAAUUGUACUAAUCUUCCAUGAGUUGAGCUAAAAUAUAUUCUUAUUUUUCAAUAAAACAAUGGGAAAUUCAAUGAAAUAAGGAUUAGCUUGUUAGUUUCAGUUUGUUUUCAUAUGGCUCUUAAUUGUUGUCCUGGAUUUACAGGAUAUCAUUUUUAUUUCUUGAGACUUAUCAGUAUAUUUAAAUGUAUACGUUUAAUCAAAUAUAUGUUGUGUUAAAUUUAUAUCGAAUAUUAGUUACAUUUUAGAUCUCAAAGUUUAGAUUUAACUUACUUUUCCUUUUGAUAUUUUCCUUCUACUAAAUAGUUUCAGAUAGCUGUAUGUUAUUUUCCCUUGGAUUUUCUUUCAAUAAAUGAAAUUAUGUUAAAUACUCUUAGUGUUUUGGGGAAAUUUCUGCUGUCAAUAAGCACUUAAGUUAGAAACAAAAGAUAUUUAAAAUGGCAAUUAAUUUGCAAAUUAAGAUGAAAAUGCCAUCAUUUCUCUCACUGUUAAAAAGCUUUUAUAGACUCAACACUGCAGUGAAGCACAAUUAGCCCAUUAAAGAUAUGUGUUGAUUUUUACAUCCUUUGUGAGGGACUAUUUAUAAGAUUGUGUUGAACAAGCAGGCACUAAAAUCUUCCUGAAUGAACUGUGAUUUAAGAAUUAUUGCUCAAUUUAAUAACUGGGGGCUUCCAUAUGCUAUAUGAAAUAGCUGACUGCAGACUGACAGCACUGCUAUUAUCCAGGAUGAAAGUUUUAAUCACGUAUUUCACAAGGGCACUGCAGGCUAAAUGUUAAAUCUUCUAGGGGAAAUAAAUAAUACUACUUGACAAUGACUUGAGUGAACCAAAGUAUAAAUGGGAUACUAGCACUUAACUUGCUUAUUAUUGUUUCCCUACUGCCUAUUUCUCUUAGUUUUCACUUAAUCUUUUGUUUUAUAUCCAAAAUACAGCCAUGAAAUUUUGGAAAUUCAGAUACAAUUAACAUUAAAAGACCCAUUAACCGUCCUUAAAAAUCAAAUCCCCAACUGCUCCCUAACUGCAUAUUAAAGUACAGUUUAUUCUUCACAAGCUGUUUAGUUUAAUAGUCAAAUUAAGGACUUUGCCCAUAUUUGAUUCCUAUAGUACUUAUAUUAUUCCUUUAAAUUAUUCUUGGAGUUCCUGUUAUUGUGACUCAGCAGGUUAAGUACCCAACAUUGUCUACAUGAGGAUGAGGUUUUGAUCCCUGGCCUGGCUCAGGGGGGUUAGAAUCCAUCAUGGCCAUAAGCUAUAGCAUAGCUCGCAGAUGAGGCUCAGAUCUGGUGUUGCCAUGGCUGUGGUGUGGACCACAGCUGCAGCUCACAUUGGACCACUGGCCCAGGAACUUCCAUACACUGCAGGUAUGGCCAUAAAAAUAAUAUAUAUAUAUACACACACAUAUAUAUAUAUUCUUUAGUUGUCUGCAUAUCUGCUUGCCAGCUGAGGUCAUGACUUCUUCCAUGUCAAGGAUGUCUUCUUACAAAUUUAAGAGCAUCCAACUUACCUAGAUCUAUAGAGACUAUUGAAUUAAUGAUUACUGAAUUAAUCCAUGAUUUAGACCUCUAUUUAGAAUGGAACUUAUUCAAUGAAUAUAAGAAAUAAACAGCAAUGUGACCUUUCAGUUAUAAGAUCAGUGACAUUUCAUGGCAGAGGAUAUCUCCUAUAUGCUGGGGAAAAUGAGGAGUCAAGGUAAAUGAAACAUCAGUUUAAGCAUUUCCAACACAAUUUUCUGACACUUCUUAGUUUAACAGAAAAUGAUUAUAUUUCUUAAUAAAACAGCAAAUGUUAAUGAUUCUGCAAACAAAAUCAUUAUAUGGUUAAACUAAAGAAAAGAAGACUAAUUCCGCAUGUUUUAUGUUAGAUGCCAGCAUUAUACAUGGGAAUAAUACUGCAUAGAAUCUUUUCUUUCAACCAAAAUAUAUUAAUUAUAGAAUAUUAUGCUUAAUCUUACCUUAGGGAGAUCACAUGAGCCACAUUCAAAGUCUCAGUUCCUUUCUAGAGUUUGUUAUAGUAUAUUUCUUGGGAUCCAAUCAUCCACUAAAUGUGAAAUGAAGUAUAUUAAAAUAUGCAAAUAUUCUAAAGAGAUGUAUAAUAAUCUGAACUAUAAAACAUAGUUAUAAAAAUAAGAUAUUUAGUUCUGGGCAGUAUUUUGGGUAGCAAAAGCUAGAUUCUUACAGAUAUAUCAAAAUAUGAGAAAAAAAUUAAUUUUCAAAAUUGCUAACAGUGUUGAACAGAGAUGACAGUUUAUUACUAAGUUUUUAAAUUUUAUGUUCUGCUUUGAGUUGUAUGUCUUAAUUUCCAAAAUUAACACUAUUCAUCAGGCUGAUGAGCCCAAAAUAAAUGAUAAUACAGUUAUAGUAUGUGUCAAAUACACAAUAGUUAAUUGUUAAUUAAAAAAAUAAGCAGUACACCAUUAUAAUUUUUAAUGAUAUAGACAUGCAUCUUUGGUUUUACCUUUAGGUUUUAACAGUAUCAUAAAUAAGAACAGGAUUGUGCAGGUACUCAUAGGGCUUUUCCAUGCAGGAGUAUCUAUGGGUACUUGAGGCGUAUCCAUUCUCAAUCAAUAUCCCACAUCCAGGCCCGCAAUUCCUUACUCCAGUCCUUCAUGCUUGGUGCUACUUUCUCCAUUUAGUCUUCUUUCAAACUCUAAAUAUUCCCAUCAGGAAAAUUUAUUCAUCCCUAAUAUUUGGGGGUAACAUUUUAUCAGCUCACAGUCUUUAACUGUAGCAAAAUAGACUGAGAAAACCAUGGACCUCUUGGAAGGGGCCAAGGAACAGGAAGGAGAAGCAUGCAAAGAGGAGAAAUUUGGGAUUUCAAAGACUAAUACCUUUCACAGUUUUCCUGAGGACAGGUCCAGAUUACAUAUCCAGCAUAUAAAGCAGAGUUAGAAUAAGAGGAAUGUCAGGCUGUCAGAUAUAGACAAAGAAUGGCUCAAAGAACAGAGUGAUGAAGGCUUUGGACAGAAAUAUAAGGAGUAAGGUCAGAGAGAGGGAGGCAAUGUGAAUAGACGUGGAGGAUGCAUUUAAAAAUGAAACUGGGAAUUCCCACUGUGGCGCAGUGGAAACGAAUCCAACUAGGAACCAUGAAGUUGUGGGUUCAAUCCCUGGCCUCACUCAGUGGGUUAAGGAUCUGGAGUUGCCUUGAGUUGUAGAUUACAGACAUGGCUUGGAUUCUUCAUUGCUGUGGCUGUGGUGUAGGCCAGCAGCUGUAGCUCCAAUUCAACCCUUAGCCUGGGAACCUCCAUAUGCCGUGGGUGUGAAC
rnacentral:lncRNA from 1 species